GCCUCUAAUGAUUAAAAAUAUAUCUUUUGUUCUUCCGUGGUUUUCUUAUGUGAAAAAAGUAUUUGGAAAUCUGUACUGAAGAGGC